rnacentral:rRNA from 1 species
GAUGAACGCUGGCGGCGUGCCUAAUACAUGCAAGUCGAGCGAACAGACGAGGAGCUUGCUCCUCUGACGUUAGCGGCGGACGGGUGAGUAACACGUGGAUAACCUACCUAUAAGACUGGGAUAACUUCGGGAAACCGGAGCUAAUACCGGAUAAUAUAUUGAACCGCAUGGUUCAAUAGUGAAAGACGGUUUUGCUGUCACUUAUAGAUGGAUCCGCGCCGCAUUAGCUAGUUGGUAAGGUAACGGCUUACCAAGGCAACGAUGCGUAGCCGACCUGAGAGGGUGAUCGGCCACACUGGAACUGAGACACGGUCCAGACUCCUACGGGAGGCAGCAGUAGGGAAUCUUCCGCAAUGGGCGAAAGCCUGACGGAGCAACGCCGCGUGAGUGAUGAAGGUCUUCGGAUCGUAGAACUCUGUUAUUAGGGAAGAACAAAUGUGUAAGUAACUAUGCACGUCUUGACGGUACCUAAUCAGAAAGCCACGGCUAACUACGUG